rnacentral:rRNA from 1 species
UACGGUGGGGGCAAGCGUUGUUCGGAAUUACUGGGCGUAAAGGGCUCGUAGGUGGCCAACUAAGUCGGACGUGAAAUCCCUCGGCUUAACCGGGGAACUGCGUCUGAUACUGGAUGGCUUGAGUUUGGGAGAGGGACGCGGAAUUCCUGGUGUAGCGGUGAAAUGCGCAGAUAUCAGGAGGAACACCGAUGGCGAAGGCAGCUCGCUGGGACGGUACUGACGCUGAGACGCGAAAGCGUGGGGAGCAAACAGG